CUCGCUCUUUCAUCCAGGCUGGAGUGCAGUGGUGCGAUCUCAGCUCACUGCAACCUCCACCUCCCAGGUUCAAGCCAUCUUCCUGCCUCAGCCUCCCAAGUAGCUGGGAUUACAGGUGCUCGCCACCACACCCGGCUAAUUUUUGUAUUUUUUUUUUAGUAGAGAAGGGGUUUCACCAUGUUAACCAGGAUGGUCUCGAGCUCCUGACCUCAAGUGAUGCACCCACCUCGGCCUCCCAAAGUGCUGGGAUUACAGUGCCCGGCCCAGGCAGGACUAUUUUUAAGACAAUUGAGCAUGAUUUUAGAAGGCUGCACAAUUGACAUUUUGCCUACUUCCACGUUUCGGUACUUUUCCUGAACAAUGUUUCUUCGUUCCCCCUCUCCUAGUAACGGACAUUUACGUUGCUCUGAUUCUCUGCCAUCCCAAGCAGCACCAUGAGGAACAGCGCUAUGCAGGACCUUCUGCGGAUGCACCUGUGCCAGUCUGUCUGGCUGGGGCCUGCACACUCCGAGAAAGGACUGUGCACUCUGAGGAAGGACUGCGCAGUCUGAGGAAGGGCUGAGCACUCUUGUGGAAGUACCGCCCACUCUGAGGAAGGACCGUGCACUCUGAGGAAGGACUGCGCAGUCUGAGGAAAGGCUGCGCACUCUCGUGGAAGUACCGCCCACUCUGAGGAAGGACUGCUAGGUUGUCUCUCUGGAAAGUUUUCUGUUGCCCAUGCGGAGAAUAUUCAAGUUUUGUUUCGGCCUUCCAGAAUUUCCCUCCUGUUUGGGGGGGAUCAUCCUCCACUCCGUUAUACAGCCUCGGAGGCAGACACCACUCGUCAUCGGAUGUCAAACCAAAGCUCCCCCAGGCUUAGCAGUCACUUCCUGAAAGUCUGCAGCAGACGACACGGCUUCUCCCAGCCCGUCUUCUUCCCCACACGGUGGGCAUGGUAACGUCCUUAACAUGCACCUGUCAGUGUGAAAGCAGCAGGCUGAGAUCACACACCAAGUUCCCGUAAGUAUUCUGCAUUCAUUACCUUAUUUUUCUUUUGAGACGAAGUCUCGCUCUGUUGCCCAGGCUGGAGUAGGGCAGUGGUGCGAUCUCAGCUCACUGCAACCUCUGCCUCCUGGGUUCAAGUGAUCCUCCCACCUCAGCCUCCGGAGUAGCUGGGAUUACAGGUGUCCACCAUCAUGCCUGGCUAAUUUUUGUGUUUUCAGUAGAGUCGGGGUUUCAGCAUGUUAGCCGAGCUGGUCUUGAACUCCUGAGCUCAAGUGAUCCACCCACCCGAGCCUCCUAAAGUGUUGCGAUUACAGGUAUGAGCCACUGCACCCAGCCUUAUUUAAUUUUCAAAAACAGUCCCUUUUCAGGAGGGGCAUUACUACCAGUCCUGUCUUAGGAGGUGGGUGCUGAGGCCUGUGGUCACUUGCCCUUCCUGGAUAGCCUGGCACCUAAACCCUUCCCUGCACUGUUGAGUCUUGAAGGCAGACCUAGACUCCAGUGAUGUGCACUGGACCGUCCAGGUGGCUGUUUCCAGAUGCCCUCGCAGCCCGGCACAGGCUGUACCUGCCCCAGCCCUUGACACUGAGCCAGAAGCUGAAGCAGAGAGCAAGGCAGUGACCGUGGGGGGGCUUGGACGCAAGGUGGUACCGUGGCGGGCUCAGCCACAAGGCGGCAACCAUGGAGGGUUUGACAUAGAACCCCUCCCAGGCUCAGGCGCUGGGCACACAGGAACCAAAAGGACCAGGGUGAAGCCAGCCCCAAGACUGGGCGGCAGGGGAGUGGUCAGACCAGCGCUCUCAUCCUACGCUUUCCAAAGCCCGGCAACUGCCCUUCAUCCACCCGGCAGAGGCUACAGAUUUCCUCUCUGGAGAGAAGGAACCGGGGUUGCUCGCUGAGCUGACAAGAGGUGGCAUCCUGGAAAGAUGCAGCUGGCCAAAGCCUGCCCUCCAUACGGAGUCCCCCCCUCGGCCAAUGGCUCCAGCUAAAGCUGUGCCCAGACUCCCAGAGCCUCUCUCAUGCCAAGAGAGUCUGUGGUGGGAGCCAAGACAGCUGACCCCAGAAGCCCCGGGCACCCCAGACGCUCGGCCCUGGGAGGGUGGCUGUGCCGGACAGACUCCAGACAGAGCUCAGACUCCGGGUCUACACACAGUGACUUUAUUACUCUAUGGAUGCUGGUGAACUGCCCUCCCCAACCAGCUUCACGGGGGCAGGCAUCUCUGUCCAUCCCAUGCC
rnacentral:lncRNA from 10 species